GAACUUAGGAUAAACUAAUCCACAGACCUUCAAAGUCUCAAACAAGAGUACACUCUCUUAGUACCUGC
rnacentral:tRNA from 1 species